AGCGAACGCUGGCGGCAGGCUUAACACAUGCAAGUCGAGCGGCCGUAGCAAUACGGCAGCGGCAGACGGGAGAGUAACACGUGGGAACGUACCCUUCAGUACGGAACAACCAAGGGAAACUUUGGCUAAUACCGUAUACGUCCGUAAGGAGAAAGAUUUAUCGCUGAAGGAUCGGCCCGCGUCUGAUUAGCUAGUUGGUGAGGUAACGGCUCACCAAGGCGACGAUCAGUAGCUGGUCUGAGAGGAUGAUCAGCCUCACUGGGACUGAGACACGGCCCAGACUCCUACGGGAGGCAGCAGUGGGGAAUAUUGGACAAUGGGCGCAAGCCUGAUCCAGCCAUGCCGCGUGGAUGAUGAAGACCCUAGGGUUGUAAAGUCCUUUUAACGGGGAAGAUAAUGACGGUACCCGUAGAAUAAGCCCCGGCUAACUUCGUGCCAGCAGCCGCCGUAA
rnacentral:rRNA from 1 species